AUUAAACGCUGGCGGCAUGCCUUACACAUGCAAGUCGAACGGCAGCACGGGGGCAACCCUGGUGGCGAGUGGCGGACGGGUGAGUAAAGCAUCGGAACGUAUCCUGGAGUGGGGGGAUAACGUAGCGAAAGUUACGCUAAUACCGCAUAUUCUGUGAGCAGGAAAGCAGGGGAUCGCAAGACCUUGCGCUCUGGGAGCGGCCGAUGUCGGAUUAGCUAGUUGGUGGGGUAAAGGCCUACCAAGGCGACGAUCCGUAGCGGGUCUGAGAGGAUGAUCCGCCACACUGGGACUGAGACACGGCCCAGACUCCUACGGGAGGCAGCAGUGGGGAAUUUUGGACAAUGGGCGCAAGCCUAAUCCAGCCAUGCCGCGUGAGUGAAGAAGGCCUCGGUUGUAAGAC
rnacentral:rRNA from 1 species